rnacentral:tRNA from 1 species
GGGGCUGUGGCUCAGCUGUAGAGCACGUGCUUCAUACGUAGAAGGUGACAGGUUCAGUCCCUGGCUGUGCCA